rnacentral:tRNA from 1 species
AGAAUAUUAAGAUAAUAAUUCUAUUAACCUUCAAAGUUAAAAGUUCU